rnacentral:sRNA from 1 species
UUCUCUAGCACUGCUGAAAACAACUUUGG